CACCACGGGAUAACCCGGCGAAAGUCGGACUAAUACCGUAUGUUGUCCCAUUGACGGCAUCCGAUUUGGACGAAAGGCUUGGCGGUGAGGGAUGGGGAUGCGUCCGAUUAGCCAGACGGCGGGGUAACGGCCCACCGUGGCGACGAUCGGUAGGGGUUCUGAGAGGAAGGUCCCCCACACUGGAACUGAGACACGGUCCAGACUCCUACGGGAGGCAGCAGUGAGGAAUAUUGGUCAAUGGGCGUAAGCCUGAACCAGCCAAGUAGCGUGCAGGACGACGGCCCUAUGGGUUGUAAACUGCUUUUAUGCGGGGAUAAAGUGGCCCACGUGUGGGUUUUUGCAGGUACCGCAUGAAUAAGGACCGGCUAAUUCCGUGCCAGCAGCCGCGGUAAUACGGAAGGUCCGGGCGUUAUCCGGAUUUAUUGGGUUUAAAGGGAGCGUAGGCCGCGCCUUAAGCGUGUUGUGAAAUCCGGGUGCUCAACAUCCGGCUUGCAGCGCGAACUGGGGCGCUUGAGUGCGCAGAAAGUAGGCGGAAUUCGUGGUGUAGCGGUGAAAUGCUUAGAUAUCACGAGGAACUCCGAUUGCGAAGGCAGCCUACUGUAGCGCUACUGACGCUGAUGCUCGAAAGCGUGGGUAUCGAACAGGAUUAGAUACCCUGGUAGUCCACGCGGUAAACGAUGGAUGCUCGUUGUCGGCCCUUUGGGUCGGUGACCAAGCGAAAGCGUUAAGCAUCCCACCUGGGGAGUACGCCGGCAACGGUGAAACUCAAAGGAAUUGACGGU
rnacentral:rRNA from 1 species